AAACUAUGAUUAGGGCACUUCCUUAAUAGUGAUUUGUACCUCUCCCAUGCAUAACAUAAAGCUUCAUUUGCUUCUUGAGAGAAAACAGAGAUUGCUAAUUUAGCAU
rnacentral:snoRNA from 1 species